CGAUGAAAACGAUGACGGGGUGUGACGGUUUGGGGAGGUCUGUUUUGUGGCGAUGCGCAGGAUGGAGCCCAGGACGGAACCCAGGGUUUCACGCAUGCUAGCCCUAGGGCCUUAACGUUUACUGCAGUGUUAGGUCCUUUAGGGGAACCUGUGGCCCUCGGAGAGGCCCUGACCGCCCUCCGCUUCCCUCCCGCGGUACCGCCACAUCCUCCCCUGUGUCCCCGUCCCCUCCUCAAGCCAGUCCCAGCCAGGCCGCUGCAAAAAGCUGCGUCUGCGAGCAUCUCUAAGGGACUGCCCUCUUUUCUCUUUUCUUCCCUUUUUGAAAAAAGUUGACACAGGGUCUCAUUGCAUAGCCCUAGCUGGUCUGGUGUUUGCUCUGUAGACAAGGCUGGCCCUGAACUCACAGAGACCCUCCUGCCGCUUGCGACUCUUGUGUUCACUCCCUGCCCCAGCUUCUGGCUUUCAGUUUCUCUGGGUCUCUCUGUCCACAGCCGUGGCUCCAGGCACAUGAGUCCAGGUCUGCGGCGCCUGGAGUCCACUCCUCUCCACCCCCUCUGCUCCUCACCCACCUCACUCCAGGGUGAUUUUCUGCUAAGAACCAGAAAGCUGUGACCUUUGGCCUAGAGCCUUAACUGGGAAGCUGCAGUCCUCCCCCUUGUUGACUUCUCUGCAGUCCUCCCUGUCAUUCUCUGUAUCCUCCCCCUUGGCUCACUCUCUAGCUGUGUGGUCCUCCCGGUUGCACUAUUUCUCACUGCGUCACUCCGCCGCUAUUGUGUAGUUCCUCUUUUUCCCUUCAUUGCUUAACUCUUUGAAAAGGAAACUGGAAAGAAGUUUAUUGCAGAGCCAAAGAACACACUCAAGAAAGUGUGUGGCCUUCUCCAGGGAGUCGCCCCAUUGCCUAACUUUAUUCUCAUUAUAGAGCGGUACUAAAAAGAAAUAGAGAAAAAGAGAAAGCCAAGAGCCAAAAAGAGAAAAAAUAAUUAACGGAGAUUUCUCCCUCUAAGUGGUAAAUAUCAGCACAAUCACACAGUCACCAGAUACGCAGCGUGCCUGGAAGAGUCCUCCUCCCACUGGCUGAUUUAUUCUGCUACCCCAGUGGCUGAUUUAUUCCGACCUGUGUUUCUGAGCUCGGGUAUUCGAGUCUUUGGGUUCCUGGUCUGCUUCCUCUGAUUUGGAGCUCUGAUUUGCUUGGUUCUGCUGCACGUCGCUCGUCUCCUGCGUGCAAGAGUUUAUAAUGUGCCCUUCCUGGUAUUGCUCAUGCACGUCCCGCAGAUGGGAAACAGGAGGCUCUGAGGAACCGAGUGGCCUGGCCUGCGGCAUUGUUCCCUCUGGUUCCUGUCCCUUGUGGAGCCCAAAGCUCUUCUGGUCUGUGGGUUCUGUGACCUCCUUCUGAAUGUCAACCCGCUUCCCAUUUGGGCUAAAUUUCAGCAAGCCAGUUUCCCUUACUUGCUCCCCCCAAAACUUUGACCCGGGGACCUACACUCCCUCGGAGACGUCACAGUCACACACCCCUUCCACAGGUGCAGUUCCUUCACUGUGAGCAGUGCCGUCCAGUGGCUCUGAUCAAGAGGGAAAUUGCAUGCAAGUAAGAUUCAGAAUUCACGGGAUCUGAACUUGCCUCUCAUUCCUGCUAAUUUAACCAACACGGAUACUUUUGUGUGUUCAUUUCUAAACAUUUAAAGGCUAAAUAUACAUUAUAUUUAUUUAUACAAAGUGCAUGUCUUAUAUAUAUAUGUUUAUGCAUGCCACUCUUGUUUUAGAACAAAAUUUUACUGUAACCAAGAGCUUUAAAAAAACUUAAUGAAAUUACCUAUCUUUCCCAUUUACUCAACAGCCUAUUUAUAAAAAAAGAAACAGCUGGCAGUGGUGGUGCACGGCUUUAAUCCUAGUACUCGGGAGGCAGAAGCAGGUGGAUCUCUGUGAGUCUGAGGCCAGCCUGGUCUACAGAGGGAGUGCCAGGACAGCCAGGGCUGCACACAGAGAAGCGCUGUCUGGGGGUGGGAAGGGGGGAGAAAGAGAAGAAAGAAGGUAAGAAAACAAUAACUAGAAAGACAGCUCAGCUGGCUAAGGCGCUUGCCACCAAACUGUUGCCCUGAGUUUGAUCCCCAGGACCAUAGUAGGAGGAGGGUACUGACACUGUCCUCUACUGGAGCAUGUGCCCUCCACCCCCAGCAAAUAAAUAAACAGAUAGAUAGAUAGAUAGAUAGAUAGAUAGAUAGAUAGAUAGAUAGAUAGAUAGAUGUAAUAAAAACAAGCCCAAGUCUCUUCCUUGCUUAUGUGUUUCUUUCACUGUAACCUGCCUGGAAGAUGGUUUCGUGGCUUGAGAUGGAAUUUGUUGUUCUUUUUGUUUGUUUUUUCGAGACAGGGUUUCUCUGUGGCUUUUGAGACUGUCCUGGAACUAGCUCUUGUAGACCAGGCUGGUCUCGAACUCACAGAGAUCUGCUUGCCUCUGCCUCCCAAGUGCUGGGACUAAAGGCGUGCACCACCAAUGCCCAGCUCUGUUGUUCUUUUCUUAAAGCCCUGAAAUAUAUUAUUAGGUUUCUCCCUAGCAGUGAUUUUAAAAAGUCAUAUUACUCAAUAAAGAGACUUUUCCAUGAACAGACUCAGUAUUUCCAUCAUAAAGAGAACACAUUAUGCAAUGACUGAGCAGCUUUAAACAAAAUUAGAAAAAGCAAGGAAAUCCACCCUAGAACCUUCUGGAAGCUGUUUCUCCACCACUCAGACUUUAACUUCCUCCUUCGUGAAAUAAUGAUGUUGUCCCAAAGACUCCAAUUAUUCCUUAUAGGACUCAAAAGGAAGGUAUUGGAAGGAGAUAAGUUCGAAUUCCCCUUCUAGUACCUUUCUCUCCCCACCAUCCUUAGGGCUUCCUUCUGUUUGGCUCUCUCGUUCUAUACUUUUCAGUCUCUGUGGAUCUGACUUGGAGAAGAAUCUUGUUUAAGUUGAAUCGUAUAAACUAUGUCCUUUUGGGGCUGCCUUGAUUCAGUUAACAUAAUUUCAUUACGGUCCAUCCAUGCUGUUAUAGCAUGGGGCAGGGUUUCUUCCUUCAUUUCAAUGUUUUAGUUACAUUUGCUUAUUUACAGGGGAGUGAGUGUUAGCCAUGGUGAGUGUGCAGAAGUCAGAGGACAACUUGUGGGAGUCAGUUGUCUCCUUCUACCACGUAUGUCCCAGGGAUCAGACUCAGCUUGUCAAGCCUUCUGUGGGGUAUCUUUUCCCUCUGAGCCAGCUCACUGCUUCUUCCUUUGUUUUUGACAAGGUCUUGAUGUACAGCCCAGGCAAGCCUUAAACUCAGGGUUCCUCUGCCUCUCAAGCACUGUGAUUAUAAGCAUGCAAUACCAUGCCUAGGCAGCAUUUUCUUUCUUUUUAAAGAUAUUAAUAUCCCACUGUUUGUAUGUCAGGCCUUUGUUUAUUCACUCAUCUCUUGAUGGACACUUGGGUCCAUCUCUUUCUGUGUUGGGACCAUCCUCUCUCUCUCUCUCUCUCUCUCUCUCUCUCUCUCUCUCUCUCUCUCUCCUUCCUUUCCUCCCUUCCUCAAACCAGUGUCUUGCUACAUUGUCCAGAUGGGUCUCAGACUCAUGGAUUUGAGUAAACCUUCUGCCUCAGCAUCCCAAGUAGCUCCAGUACAGGGACAUACCAUCGCUCCCACUUUAAAGUAGCUUUCUGGAGAGUUGUGUCUCGGGUCCCAGUUUCUCACUCUGUGAACCCCCAGGCCACCAGUUCUCAUGCCUUGAGUUGGUGUAUUUUCUGUGUGUGUCUCUAGCUCAGCCAUUUCUGCUGGCUCAGACCUCCAUAUCUGCCUGCUAGCAUGUUUCUCUGUAAAUCUAGUGCCCUUAUAUUUUUGAUUGAAACAGGGUCUCCCUAUGUAUCCCUAGCUAGUCUGGGUGUCUGUGCACCCCAGGUUAACUUCAAACUUGUGGCAAUCCUCCAGCCUUUGACUACUAGUGCUGGGGUUAUGGCACGUACCACAAAGCUGGCCCCAUUGUGUCUCUUUCUUAGCUUCAAGGAAUGACUAUCGUCAUUGCCGAAUCCCCAAGACCCUGAGCCAUUCUUACCUUUCUCCUUCCCUGUGGUGUACCCCCUCAGACACUAAUCACACCCUCUGCUAGCCCCCAUCUUGGUCACCACAAUGCCAGCCCUCUGAUGGGAAAGUCCUUCUGUGUAUAUGGUUGUCUUAUUGGUUGAUGAAUAAAGCACUGUUGGCCAAUGAGGAAGCAGGAUAGGUGGGACUAGGAGUCGAGGAGGAUUCUGGGAACGGUAGCAAGGACAGAGUCUCCAUCUGAGCCUAGGAAGAGAGGACGCAUGCUGCGGCAUCCUCAAUAAGUCUUUAUAAAUACAUGGAUUAAUGGUUAUGGUUGAUAAUUAAGACUGAGCUAGCAGAUAAGAAAUCCUAGUCAUUGGCCAGCAGCAUUGUACCUAAUAUUAAUCUCUGUGUGUUAUUUUGGGUGCCCAUGUGGUGACGGGGCUUGGGCAGCUGGCAGAAAGAGUUAUCGUUACAGCCCCCUUUGCCUCUCAUAGGACUCCUGCAGUAGACACCCAAUGGGAUCCCAGCCUUGCCUUCUUACAACCCAUUUCCGAUAACCACCAUUCAAGGUAGUUAUCUUUGUAGACUGAAAACUUAUCAAUUGUCCCACCCACAUCUCUUCUCAAAACUCUCAAAGUCUACCUUCACAGUAAUUUCUAGCUCCCUAAAAUGGCCAACAGUGACAAGUGGUUACUUAUUCACAACCUUCAGGACUGAGUUUCCAGUGUUUUUCUUCCAUGUAUGGCUAGAAGGAUCCUGACUUCCUUCUUUGGUCCCCAUGUAUAUCUCUAUUUUCCUUGUUGGGCAAACUGUUGGGGGGCAUUGAUGGCUUAAAGAUAGGAGCUCAUAUAUUCCAUACAAGCUUUAAACUCACUACACAGGCAAGGAUGGCCUUGAGUUUCUGAUCCUCUUGUCUCCACCUGGAAAGUCCUGGGAUUACAGGCCUGCAUCACCUCAUCAAGUGUUCAACAAUGCUGAGGAUCCAAUCCCAGACUUCAUCCGUGCUACCUUCUGAGAUAUACUCCAGUCCUAUCUCUGUCCAGUUUUUUCUUCCUCUCUUUUGUUUUUGUUUUUCAAGACAGGGUUUCUCUGUGUAACCCAGGCUGUCCAAGAACUCAUUUUAUAGACCAAGCUGGUCUCAAACUCACAGAGAUCUGCCUGCCUCUGCCUCUUGAGAGCUGGAAUUAAAGGUGUGUGCCACCACCUUCUCUGUCUGUUUCUUAACAUUCUUAGCUGCAAGAUGUUAGAUGAUUUCUUUUAAGCCUUAGGAUACUAUGUGAUUUUGUUUUUUGAAUUUGUGGGCUUUCAAUUAUGUUACCCAAGUUAGAUUCAGAUUCCUGAGCUCAGGAGAGCUCCUGCCUCAGUCUUCUGAGUAGCUGGGGCUGUGUGUAUGUAUCACUGCCCUGUCUGGAUUUUUAUUAUCAUUGACAUUUUUAAAAUAUUGGGGCUGAAGAGGUGGCUCAGAGGUUAAGAGCACUGGCUGCUCUUCCAGAGGCCCUGAGUUCAAUUCCCAGCAACCACAUGGUGGCUCACAAGCAUCUGUAAUGAGAUCUGGUGCCCUCUUCUGGCCUGGAGGCAGACAUGGAGGCAGAACACUGUAUACAUAAUAGAUAAAUAAAUCUUUAAAAAAUUAUGUACGUGCAUGUGUGUGUGUGUGUGUGUGUGUAUGCAUUGUGUGCGUUUGUGUGUGUGUGUGUGUGUACGCAUGUGUUUGCGUUCGUGUGUGUGUGUGUGUGUGUGUAUGUGUGUGCGUUCGUGUGUGUGUGUGUGUUGUGUGUGUGUGUAUAUGCAUGUGUGUGCGUUCGUGUGUGUGUGUGUGUGUGUAUGUGUGUGCGUUUGUGUGUUUGUGUGUGCGUUCGUGUGUUUGUGUGUGCGUUCGUGUGUUUGUGUGUAGCGUAUGUGUGUGAGUUCGUGUGUGUGUGUGUGUGUGUAUGUGUGUGCGUUCGUGUGUGUGUGUGUGUGUGUGUGUGUGCGUUCCUGUGUUUGUGUGUGUAUGUGUGUGCGUUCGUGUGUGUGUGUGUGUGUGUGUGUGUAUGUGUGUGCGUUCC
rnacentral:lncRNA from 1 species